ensembl:lncRNA
AUUUCCUUGUCCCUGAACUGACCACUCCAGAUGAAAGAUCUUCAAGUGAGUGUAGGGAACGACUUGGAAAAGGGUGAAGUUAUACCUGCUGGAACCGGACCACUCUGACUUUUGCGGCAAAAGAGAGGGAAACACCUCAGUGACAUGUUUUAGACCCAGGGAAGUCUGAGGGAGGGAGGAAUGUUAAUGAUCUCUUUAAGAUUCACCCCAAAGCCUUGCUCAAAGAAGGAAAGCACUCUGGAGCAAUUCUCCCAAACCCUGAAGGCACAUUAAAUUUAACUGACUGCUGGGUUUUCCACCCCCUGACAGAGUUCGCUGACCAUGAUUUGAUCACCAUUCAUCUUAAUCUUACUGAGAUGCCUAUCAGAAGCAGCAGCGGAUGGCUCCCAGCCUCUGUACUUACCACACAAAACAUAUGUCAACGCCUCCAGCUGUUCUCCCAACACCGAUUCCCAUAGCCAUAACGGAGUCAGUCUGUGAGGGGGAUGAAAUCCACUUCGCCAGAGACACGGACAAACAGGUCAGUUUGGACCGCCUGAGGGCUCCCGGAAGGCCGUAGAGUACAGCAGUUUUGCGCCGGGCAUGCGCGGUGCCCUGCCCCGUUUUGGCUUCAGGCAGUCCCUCCAGCGCACAGUUUUGGGCCAGAGCCAGUCGGCAGCUCCACAUCCCGCCGCAGGGCCUCUGGAGCACAGCGCGCUGAAGCGUUAUGACUCUGACUGUGGAAGGUCCAGGAGUCCACGAGCACUGGAGAUCGCGUGAUAGAGACUGUGAGCCAACCUCCUUACUGACCAGUCUGGGAGGGGCACGGGGCGCUCAGGUGUUUCUCCUGCCAGGACUCGGCUGCCCCCGUAAAUGGCCUGAAGUCCCAGGAGAUGGGGCUUCCUGUGGGAAGUGAGGUUGUGGCUGCAAUGCUUGGGGCCUGAUUCCUCCAUUCUCUGAACCACCCCUGAUCCUCAGUGGAUCCCAGCCCAUCUUCUCCCUACUCUUCUAUGGGGACUGCACUUAAUCCAAAAUCAAGGGAUUGAUUCAUGUAUUUGAAAUGAACUAUUACCCUAGAAGUCAUGUUGGAGGCCCCAUCAACCUGUACCCUCAACUGAUAUGCGUCACACUUGAGAGGCCCUAACACUUGAAGAACUGACUUUCUUUUCAGAGUGACCACAUGCACGAUCAGGACUGUGCUUUUUGCGUGGGAGACCAGAUGCAAACCGUGCAUAGCCUUGGAAAUAUCUCCCUUCAGAUGAAAAGAUAAGCAUGCUUACUCUCUAGUAUGAUGAAGAUGAUGUCCUCCUUCGGAGAAGAGGAUGUCUGUGUCCUUUCUGGCGGGCAUCUAAGGGCUCCAGCAAUACUGAAUCGACUGCAAAUCGCACAUUGAAAACGUUUCCACCUCAGCCUCAGUUUCUGCAAAGCUGCUGCAUUUCCAGUUCACCUUCACUUCCAGCUCUCUUGGAAUAGGCUCCUGUUUGUAUCUGGUUUUGUUGAGGCCACGCGGAUGAGUUAGAGCAGAAUGCAUGUGCAGAGAAAAGACUUACCAAGGAAAAUGUAAUCCAAUGUGGUAAGAGAAAGACAGAGCCUCUCAAAAAUCUUCAGCUAUAUCCAAGAAAAUAUGCAGAAAGAGCAUAAUGGAAGAAGUUCCUUCAGGCUUCUGUCUCACCACUUUUUUCCUUCUCAUAAUGAAUUCAGACAUGUUAAGAAAUAAACUGAUUUGAG